UUAAUUGAAACCAAAACAGAGGUAUAUUAUUGUUAAUAAUAAAACUGAAUAAAUAUUCCAAUUAAA
rnacentral:tRNA from 1 species